rnacentral:piRNA from 1 species
AAAGGAGGAUUUAGUAGUAAAUUA